GGUAAUGCCGGAUGCUCCAGUCCAUCGCAUGGUGGUCUGGGAAAGAUUUUAUCGGUAUGGGAUGGGGUCGCGUCCUAUGAGGUAGUCGGCGGGGUAACGGCCCACCGAGCCUACGAGGGGUAGCCGGCCUGAGAGGGCGACCGGCCACAUUGGGACUGAGAUACGGCCCAGACUCCUACGGGAGGCAGCAGUGGGGAAUAUUGCACAAUGGGCGCAAGCCUGAUGCAGCGACGCCGCGUGCGGGAUGACGGCCUUCGGGUUGUAAACCGCUUUUGUUGGGGAGCAAGCCUUCGGGUGAGUGUACCCUUCGAAUAAGCACCGGCUAACUACGUGCCAGCCGCCGCGGUAAUA
rnacentral:rRNA from 1 species